UUAAAUAAGGAAGAGUUUGUGGUGGAUGCCUUGGGUCUGGAAGUCGAUGAAGGACGUGAUUACCUGCGAUAAGCCUCGUUGAGCUGGAAAUACGCUAUGAAACGGGGAUUUCAWGGGGGGNAANCCCAA
rnacentral:rRNA from 1 species